CAGAAACCCAGCACUCAACAACAAAGAACAGAAAGUCAAGCCCUGAAAACUCACUACAUACCUGGAUAUCCAUGGCUGAUGCUAACGUAGCCUUCACGCUCUCUGCCAGUGAGAAAUCUCCAUGUUGAACAGUCCUAUGAACGAUGUCAUUGCUGUUCACCACAGUAAUAAGUCGAAUUGGGAGACCCAUUUUCUGGGCAAUACAGCCAGCUAGGGAAAAGAAGUGAAAAAAAUGUAUAAGUGCUUGAUGAAGAAACAUUUGAAGGAGAUUUAGCAAAGAAGUCAUUGUACAAAUUGAUUGAGCAUCUAGUUCGGAAGCAGACAAAAAUUAUAUUUCCUUGUGGACUCUGA